rnacentral:snoRNA from 1 species
AUCCUUUGAUAGUUCAUAAGCAUGAUGACCAGGUUUUCAUCAUGUUAGAUGUGCCUGUUUCAAAGCUUAUGACAAAGUCAACACAUUAACUGACA